ensembl:processed_transcript Gm17396 predicted gene, 17396
ACUGAGAGAGCCUCUCCAGGGAGCCGGGCACGCAGUCCAGAAGGCUGCAGUAUUUCCUCCAAGGGGGGGAAAAAGAAGAUGAAAAAGAAGAAGAAAAAGAAAGAAAGAGGCUGCUGCCACCCCUCUGCUAGCUAUCUGGAAUAGCACAGUGAGCAGCGUCUGCAGCCGAGCCGCGGGUGGAACCGAACCCCAGCUUCUCUGUGAAGUGCCUGGGUGGGGCAAUGCCCAGCCUCCCUGCCCUGCUCCGACCAGGGCUCCCAAGCUCCCAAGCUGCUUCUCCUCUUCAAUCGCCAAGUUCCCAGAGUAUUGCACACAAAAAAUUGAACAAAAACUCAUAAUUACUUGUCAGAGUUUUUCCCCCCACCAGUAAUAAUAUUCCGACACGUCGAUCAGCUGCUACAUUAUAAUACAGAUUGUUUCAGAGAAGAUAGAUCUCCUUAAAGGGUUUCUCUGCAAGGCGGCGGUGAGGCUAAAAUUAGCUGUGCCAGCUGUGUUUUGCUGGGAGUGCUCACGCAUGCCCGGAGCGUGGGCAGCCAGCCUCUGUGCCUCUCCACUCCCCCAAGUCUGCCGAACACUCCAGCCGUCCUUUCAGAUAAAAGACUCCAGGUACAAAGGCAGUUUCCUCACAUGGAGGGAGAAUUGAAACUGCAAUACACAGGAUGCCACCUCUGCUUUAAGUCCCGCCUGCCACUCAUGGGGUAACAACCUAGGCUCCUGUGCUCCUUAGCUCCAGGAAGCUCAGUUCUGAAGUCUGGGUACCAGCAGAAAGACAAGGACACGGAGACAUCACAUUGGGUUUUAUGUCGAUUCUCUCUCUCUCUCUCUCUCUCUCUCUCUCUCUCUCUCUCUCUCUGUGUGUGUGUGUGUGUGUGUGUGUGUUUCUCUUUUUUAAAAGACAGGGUCUCAGAUACCCCAAGCUGCUCUUAAAACUUGCUGUGAAACGGAAUGAUUUUGGCUUCUGAUUCUCCUGCCUUCCAUCGCCCAGCACUGGUAUUGAAGGCAUAAAUUAAUGAAUGAACCAGGUUCCUGUGGGCACUGGCUGUGGAACCUAGGACCCUGCCCACAAUGGGCAAGCACUCUACCAACACAGCUAUCUCUUGAUGACAAAAAUCAGAACUUGGGUUGGAAAGUGGGUAUGGGACACCUGUGAUGGAAACAUAUCAAGACAGCUUCACUCAUGGACCUCAAUUAUUCCAUCCAUAAAAUGGAGAAGGACAGCAACUGAAAUCAGGCACCAAUCUCAAAGUCUUCUGGCCACAUCUCCCUCUCUAGAGAACUUGUCAAGCAUCUGGGAAUCUCGUUGUUCCUUCCUUUCUGCUUGGUAUCAGAUUGUAAAUUCUACUCUUCACACUUCAUGGUCCAGCUCUGAGUGCCACUGAGCAGAGGUCAUGUUGGUGAUCGCCAAGCUCACACCAGGCAUCCUCUGCCAGCAUGAACAUGCCCCCCUGAAGCAGUCUUCCUGAAACCCUCACUUCCCAAGGUAUAGUUGGUUUUCCCCAAGUUGGUUUCUCCCACGACCUUCUAAACUCAGAACAGCAGGCCAUAGCCUCCUCUGUAGCCUUAAGAACUAGCAAGGCCAGACACAAAGCAUGUGUUCUGACAUGCUUGGAGAACAAAAUAUCCUGGACAUAAUAAACAAUUUGUCCCUC